rnacentral:ribozyme from 1 species
CAGCGGUAGCCUCACGCCCCGACAGCAUGAGCACGUGGGAAUGCAUG